GCUUCGUCAUCGCUCUCCAGAACCUUCCUUAAGCUUCCUCUCUCCAUGUACUCGUAAACCAGGAACGUGUUGUGGCGGUGCGAGCAGAAUCCGUAGAGUUUCACGACGUUCCGGUGACGGAUCUCGGUUAGUGCUCUGAUUUCGUUUAGGAAGUCUUGUUUUACCGAUGGAUUUGAGAUUGAUGAGUCUGUUGUUUCGUUUAGCUUUUUCACCGCCAUGAUUGCGUUUGGGAGCUUUGCUUUGUAGACUUUGCCGUGUCCUCCGGUUCCGAUUAGGUAUUUUGGAUCGAAUUCGCC
rnacentral:lncRNA from 1 species